AAGUAAAAGUAAAAGUAAAAGUAAAAGUAACAAUAAUAAUAAUAAUAGUAACACAAUAAUUAACGCUUUUAAAGAAGUAGAGAAUGACGUUCUUUGUGUUUAUUAUCCAAACAGUUAUUAUAACCAGUGUAUAAAUUUGAGUACUUUUGAGUGGUUUAAUGAUAAUGCUAAGGCUUCUGCUACUAACACUGAUGCGACGGUAGUAAACGGUGAUGGUAGUAGUAAUGGUAAUUGUAACGGAAGCAACAGCAAUGACAAAACAAACGAGAGUAAUGACAAAACAAACAAGAGUAAUAAAAAAAGAAGCAAAUACAAUAGUACCGAAUAUGAUAUAUAUAUGCACAAAACGAAAGAAGAAAAUGGAAGCAAAAGAAAAAAUUUAAAUAACCAAAAGAGUUGUGGUGACAUCGAUUUGAACUUACUACUAAAUGAAUCAAAUAUAAAAAUAAAAAAAAGGUACUUAAAAGAUAUAUCUGUAUACAGCUUUUGCUGUGAUUAUAAAUAUAAAGGUUGUGAUUUGUAUUUACAUAUAGCAAAAAAUAAAAAAUUGAAAAAGAGUAAAAUAAAUUAUAAUAUUAAUUAUAAUGAUUUUGUUAAUAAUUAUGACAUAGUUGAUAUGUAUAAUUUAAAAAAGGACAAUAGUUUCUUGAAUAGUGGAAGUUCAGAACAUAAAAAAAAAAAUGUAGAAAAUUUAUUUGAUAAAGAUUACAAGAUUAAUGUUGAUAUGCACAUUGACAUGAAACAGUUGAUACGGCAGUAUAAAAGGGGGAAUGACAUGAUGAAUGGUGUUGAACAGCGUGACAAAACAUGUUAUAUAAGUAAGGAUCGUAUAAGUAAGGAUCGUAAAAGUGACGACCGUAUAAGUGACGACCGUAUAAGUGACGACCGUAUAAGUGACGACCGUAUAAGUAACGACCGUAUAAGUGACGACCGUAUAAGUAACGACCGUAUAAGCAACAACGUUAGGCCUAUUGAUAAAACAAACCGACUAGACUAUAUAAUAUACAACUUUUACAAAAAUUUUGAGUGCCUAAUAAAUUUUAUUAAUAAAUUAAAAAAUCAUUCAACAAAAUAUGAUUAUUUUUAUCCUAAAAUGAUAGGAGAUGUUAAUGAAGAAAUUCGAAAGCACUAUGAUAAAAAAAAAGUAAUAUUACUAAAAAAGUCUAAUAUAAAAUAUAUUCGUAUAUUUAAUAAUGAAGUAAAAAGAAUAAUGAUUUUAUUUUUUGUUCCAUACAAUUCACGUGUUUUAGAUCUUGCUUGUGGGCAUGGACAAGAUAUGCUUAAAUAUAAUAGUGUACAAAAUAAAAUAUAUGUAGGUAUUGAUCUUUCUAAAAAAGAAAUAGAACUAGCGAAAGAAAGGUUAAACCAAAAUAGUAUGAAAGGAUUAUGUAAUAAUGAUAAUUUUAUUUUUUUACAAGGUGAUAUUUUAAAUAAUAAAUUUUAUAAAAAAUGGAAAAAUAAGAAAAUUAAUUUUGAUAUUGUUUGUAUUAAUUUAGCUUUACAUUAUAUAUUGUACAAUGAAAAGUCAUCUAAAAAUUUUUUUAAAAUUAUCGACAAUUUUUUGGAUAAUGAUGGACUGUUGUUGGUUACUACUAUUUCGAUUAGUACUUUGGUGGAUUUUUUGAUGAAUCGUUCGGUCGUAGACUGUGCCGGGGACAACUUUACACUAAAAGUAGAAAACGAAUUAUUUAUGAUAAAAUUUGAUCAAGAAAAUUUGCUGAAGAUUUUUAAAAAUAAGACAUAUAUGGAGGAAUAUAUCGAAUUUAUUAAUAAUAAACACUGUCAUUCUAAAAUAAAAUAUGAUUAUUUUUAUAAUUUAAUGAAAGAGUCGUUUGAAACUACGUUAGGGAUAAAAUAUUAUUUUUAUUUAUAUGACACAAUUGAUGCUAAUGAGUUUGUUAUACCACAGACUUACUUAAAAAAUAAAUUACAAGAAUUAAAUAUGGUUGAACUUUUUAAUAAUACGGCUAUCCGAUUUUUGCAUUAUAUGACUAAUAAUUUAGAAACCUAUGAAAAAUAUAAAAAUAUAAAAUAUUUUAAUUUAAUUAAUAAAACUAUAAAUCAUAAUAUCUUUGAAGACAUAAAAUUAAGAAUAAAUAAAAUACAUGUUUAUAAUAAAGACUCACAACAUUAUUAUGACAUUUGUUCUUUGUAUCAUGUCUACGUGUAUAAAAAAAAUUUCGAUGCUUCAAUAUUGGGUAUAUAGUUAUAGCAACCGAUUUUUGUGUUUUCUCACAUAGCUAUUUUGUUAAGUAUUGUCAUACUGUUACCGUCACAGUUAUUUAUUUACUUAUUUAUUUACUUAUUUAUUUACUUAUUUAUUUACUUAUUUAUUUAUUUACUUAUUUAUUUAUUUAUUUACUUAUUUAUUUAUUUUAUUUAUUUAUUUAUUUCAUUUUUUUUUUUGGAGCUAUCCAUUUUGUUUAUUGUUGUUACUAUUACUGCUACAGUUAUUUAUUUGUUUAUUUACUUUUUGGAGCUAUCCGUUUUGCUUAUACAUUUUUUAUUUAGACUUAAAUAAUAUAUUCUUUAUGAAUUAAAAUGUGAAACCGCAUAAAAUUAUAGUUUCAUUUUUUUAUAAUUUUUUGUGUACGCUCAUCGAUAAUUACUUUUUUUUUUUUACGUACGAUUUUUUUUGUUUUACAUUUAUAAAAAUAAAGCAGAGUAGUGAAUUUUUUUUCUUAAAUGU
ensembl:lncRNA